rnacentral:tRNA from 1 species
GGGCUCAUGGCGCAGUUGGUAGCGCGUCGCUCUGGCAGGGCGAAGGCCCCCGGUUCGAAACCCGGGUGAGUCCA